GAGAAAAUGGAACUUAGUACAUAUGCCAAAAUAAAUCUGUAACGCAGGCCACUUCUCUGGGCCCCAUCUUGAGUAGGUUAAAGGGUCACCUUAAAGACUAGAAACACAAUUAAGAGGCACAAAUCCACACAGAAAAUAUGCAUAUUUUGUCUCCUUUCCCCCCAAAACAAGCUGCAUAUACUUGUGUAAACUUGUUGAUUUGUAAAACAUGUCUAGUACUGCAGACAAAUGUGUGGGAUGAAAUAAAAGCCAUGAAAACAGGGCCAGGUGCAGUGGCUCACGCCUGUAACCCCAAUGCUUUGGGAGGCUGAGCCACUGCACCCAGCCCAAACUAGGUUUUGAAGGUGGAAUAAGUUCUCCUAGCUCAGAAGGAUCUCAACCUCUUGCAAGUUACUUUUCACUUUUAAGGGCCCUUCAAGAAGCAUUUGCUUAGCUCUGUAUCCAGGCCAUCUCUCCCUCCCCGAAGAGCAACAGACCAGCAACUGACAUUAAGAUCACAUGGGUGGGUGGGGAGUAGAAUUGCGGGGGUGACAGUUCCAGCCAAUCCAGACAACGAAUCAUUGUUUGGAGGAACCAGAGCCUCAAAGGGUGAGUGCACUGACUAGGGCUGGCUCUCCAUCUGUUCACACAUUUGUUGAGUGCCUACUCUAUGCCAAAGCACUGUGUUUUGGUGCCCUGGGGAGCACAAAAUUGGGAUAGCUCCUGCCCUCAGGGCUUAAUAAAGUAGCUCUCAGUCAAGGGUUAGAGCAAGGGUUGACAAACUACAGCCCAAAAGGGCCACCUGUUUGUGUAAAUAAAGUUUUAUUGGAACACCAGCCACACUCAUUCGUGUUCAUGUAGUGUCUGUGGCAGCUUUUACAUUACAACAGCAGGGUUGAGCAUUUGCAGCAGAGGCUAUAUGGCCUGCAAAGCCUAAAAUCUUCACUUUCUACCCCUUUACAAAAAAGUUUGCCAAUUCCUGCUAGAGAAGAGAUGACAUACAACUAAGAACUUAAACGAGUGAUAAGGGAACACAAAUUAUUUACAUAAUAAAAUUUCAGAGUGGGGGGGGCUGGCUGAAUUUAAAAAGCAUGAAUUACAUGAGGCUUGAUUACUGUGAAGAGAUGAUAAGUCAACUUAAAGUUACUUACAUUUAACAUACAAUUUAUAUGCACUGGUUUAAAACACGCACACACACACACAAAAUGUAACACAAGCCAACUACUGAUCUGGUACAGAUGACAAAAGGGUGAUCAGUUCCAACUUCAAAAGGAAAACUGGCUAUGAUGAGUCCAUAUUGAAAAAGUCACUGUCAUUUAUGGGUGGUCUAAGGGAUUUUUUUCAAGGGUAAUUUUACCUGCUUCAUUGUUCAUUUAAGGGUACACACUGAACUUUGGAACUAACGCUUGCAUGGGUUUGUGCCUCCAAAGCAGUCAACACUGAAGUCUUGGCUGGGCUCAGUGGCUCCUGCCUGUAAUCCCAGCGCUUUGGGAGACUGAGGCAGGAGGCUCACUUAAGUCCAGGAGUUCGAGACCAGCCUGGGCAACACAGUGAGACCCCAUCUCUAUUUCAAAAAUUAUAAAAUAAUAAAAAGAAAAUAAUCUCUCUGCAUAAGCAACAACAACAAACCCCACUAAGGUGUUGAAGGACCCAUUUUAAUGAAUAGUUAAGAAUGGUUUGUAUGUUAUACUCUGCUUUUUUAUGUUUUGACUUUUAAACAAAGAAAAAGAGGCUGCUUUUGCAUUUAGGGUUGAUCAAAGCAGUCUGUCUUUUUUUUGUUGUUUUGGUAGAGACAGGGUCUCGCCAUGUUUACCCAGGCUCGUCUUGAAGUCCUGAGCUCAAGCAAUCCUCCCACCUUGGCCCCCCUCAAAGUGCUGAGAUUACAGGCGGGAGCCACCGCACCUAGCAUCUUUGCUAUUUGAAACAUCAAAUGAAAUCAUACUAAUGUGAGAGCUGAAUUCCAUUGAAAGGAAAAGCUCAUUAAAUAACAAUCACCAUUGUCUGGCCAUGGGGAGACUACUGGAAUUAAUGAGUGUUUAUAGUUCUUGCCCUCUCAUCCUCAAACAUCUUAGAUAAAAUCCCAAGAGACUGCUGCUGAAAGCGUCCUGCUGUAAAUUACAAGAAAACCAGCCCAGCUUCAAGCAGAAAAUGCCAAGGACCAGGGCUGGGGAGCAGAUUUCACGUAAGAACAUCCAGACACUAAGAAAACACCAAGGAAUACUGUAUAAGAGACAUUGCAGUCACGUUGUGGGAGCUGCCACUGAGAUGCAGAGUGUGUGUCUGCUUGGAGAAAAGGCUCCCACAUUCCAAGCCGCUGUCCUUACGUGUAAAAGCUUUGAGGUGCACCCUCUUCCACACUAGCUGAUGUAGGAGUUAGAGGUAGUAAAUGUGUGCAUACAAAACUCAAACCUGUUUUGAAAAGCCCACCGUAGAAAGCAUGCUUAAAAAAUGGAAUUCGGCUGUAUGCCAGAAAAUCAGUAGCAUUAUGGAAGGAAAUUGAACUAGAAGUUUAAAAAACAGCCAAUAUGCAGGCCCUUCCCCACAGUAGAAGGGAGCCUGGGUAUUGUGCAAUCUCACACCCACUGAAAAAAUGCCAUGCAUGCCUCUAAAUGCUCUGAGAAAGAAUGCUUUGCACUAAGCCACAGCAAUACACGCCCCGUGACUUAGGAAAGCCAGCGUGCAGUGCUUCAUUUCUCAUCCCGAUGCACAAAACACAGGGCUCCAUGGGCCCGACAUUUCAGUCCAGCCUGAAAAGACUAGUGAGCACAGCCCUAAAAUUGUCCAUUCAAGGCAAAAAGCACUUUCUCAUAUCUCGUGACAAAAAAAAAAAAAAAAAAGAAAUAAAAAUGAAAAUAGAACCACAAAAUGGGCAGGCAUGGUGGCUCACACCUGUAAUCCCAGC
rnacentral:lncRNA from 1 species